AAAGUCGUAACAAGGUUUCCGUAGGUGAACCUGCGGAAGGAUCAUUACAGAGUUCCUGCCCUCACGGGUAGAAACCCCACCCUUGUAUAUUAUAUAUUGUUGCUUUGGCGGGCCGCCCUCACGGGCACCGGCUCACGCUGGCUCGCGCCCGCCAAAGAACCCCAAACUCUGAAGUAUAGUGUCGUCUGAGUACUAUUUAAUAGUUAAAACUUUCAACAACGGAUCUCUUGGUUCUG
rnacentral:misc_RNA from 1 species